GGAGGAGUGGCAGAGUGGACGAAUGCGGCGGUCUCGAAAACCGUUGGGGUCGCAAGGCCCUCGUAGGUUCGAAUCCUACCUCCUCCGCCA
rnacentral:tRNA from 1 species